rnacentral:rRNA from 1 species
UCCUUUUGUUAAAUAUUUAAGGUCUAACCUGCCCACUGAAUUUUAAAUGGCCGCGGUAUUUUGACCGUGUUAAGGUAGCAUAAUCAUUAGUUUUUUAAUUAGAAGCUGGAAUGAAAGGUUUAAUGAAAAAAUAACCGUCUUUAAUUAAAAUUAUUAGAAUUUUAUUUUUAAGUUAAAAAGCUUAAUUAUUUUUAAAAGACGAGAAGACCCUAUAGAGUUUUAUAAAAUUUCUAUAUUUUUUAUUAAGAAUUAAUUUAAAAAUAUAAAAAUUUUAUUUUAUUGGGGUGAUUGAAAAAUUUAAUUAACUUUUUUUUUAUUAUUAUAUAAAUUUAUAAGUAUAUGAUCCUAAAUUUUAGAUUAUAAGAAAAAAUUACCUUAGGGAUAACAGCG